rnacentral:rRNA from 1 species
AACGGUCAUACCAUGUUGAAUUUACCGGUUCUCAUUAGAUCACCGAAGUCAAGCAUCAUUGGGCGCGGUCACUACUUGGGUGGGUGACCACCUGGGAACACCGCGUGCCGUUG